AUGACGAGUGGGCUCGCGUUGCAGGCUUGUUGGCUGGGUUUGUUAUCGCCGCGUGCACAGGUUUCGGCCAAUCCGCUCCACGCGCCUCGCAGCCAAUCCCUGCCCUCGACUCGUCCCACUCCCACACGAGCCGCCAGACAAACCCUAGCCUGUUUCCCCUCAACCCCCAACCUCUCAUGCCUCCUCCGCCCCUUCUCCUCGCAUCACCACGGGAUUCUCGCCAACGCCUGCUAUUCCCCCUCCCUCAUCUCUGUUCGACGCCAAGGACCAGCUCACCCCGCACCUUUUAUCCACCCACGACCUAGGGUUGGGGAGGCCGGGUGUUCUCGCUGGGGUGGAGGAGCAGGUGAGGGCCGGGAGGCCGACGAAGAGGUCGGUGUGGGGCCCAAGGAGCAGCGGGGCAAGAACAGUGGGGGUGGGGCUUUCAUCUCCUCUGUUCUAAUCGCGACUCCUGCGACCUCGUCACCGGUGCUCGCUCGACUGGCAUAUGGGGCGGCGGCCGGGACGUUGGCCCUCCGCACGAACUCGAAGCCGAGUCUAGCUGACGAGCCCCGUGGUUGGUUUCUCCUACAAUCUCCAGAUCCCCUUUUGCUCAUUCUCUUCCUCUCCUCAUACAUUUCUCUGUUGUUUGUGUUCCUUCGAUUUGCAGCGAUUUGUAGCAGCCUGCACACACGACAUGAGCAGCAGCCAGGUCCAUGGGCGUUGCUUGUGGAGCAGCGGUCAAGUCACGGUGUGCCAUCAAUUGAGAAAAUAACUUUCCUUCUUGUGAGGCUAGAAGAUGGCGCAAUACUAGACGAGAAUGCUUUCUGCAAUGAUUUAUCAAUUUGGCAUAGUAUUGGUGCUUACUUGUAUGAGGAUCUGAUUUGCAUUGUGUCUCUUAGAUAUCAAACAAUACAUGUUCUACAAAUCCGAGAUUCAAGCAGCCUUGUUGAGGUACGAAGAAUUGGUGCAUUUUGUCGGAAGAUGACGAGCUAUGUCUUCAUUCACAUGGCCAGGCUGCACAAUGGAGUUCUUUUCUUCCCGGAAGGGAAGGAUGUGGCCGCAAAGGCCAAGACUGGUUCUAGAAAGACCUUUGCCUACCUUCUCCCACUGUUGCAAGAGCUGCUGAAGUUGUGCAAAGAAGGGCGUAUUCAGAAAUCUACACCAAAUGACUUAAUCCUGUAUAGUCUCCUGUUGUUAGAUGAUGAACUAAUGUUAUUUUAUGCCAAGAAGUUAAAUUUGUGUGCACCUUCUCAUGGUCCAGUACUCCAGUAUUUAACCAACUGCUCCUCCUUCGGAUACGUGGCAGGGCUUAAUGGCGGCGCCAACUUGAGAAACUCAUAUUUACAUAGAGAAACCUGGUCAAAGGGGUUUGACCAUGUGAUUUGUCCAAAAUGCCCCUGGAUGCGGCUAAACACCGGCGCCCGCGUGAAGGCACAACGACGACGUACGGGAGGAUGCCUGAGAGGUCUAUGGGCUUCAGGGCGGUCAUGCAAGGCUGCGGGCAUGAAGAAGAACUGGACUGAGUUGGUCGGAGACCGUGCGGUGGUCGUGAGGAUGGGCAAUAGUGAGCUCGAGCGGCGGCGAUGGGCGGCGCUCAUGGGGGGAGGUUCUCGGCGGUGCAAGGAAGCUCGAGGGCGCACUAGGACAUUCGAGAGAAGUGCUCGAUCUAAUCGACCGCAAACCAUGCCUGCGAGCCUAGAGCUGGCCACCGACGUCGGAUGUUGGCCGCCGCCGGAGUUGAGCGAGAGAGAGAGAGACACAGAGAGGGGCAAAACUGGCCAGAAAAUGUCAUGUAGCCAGUCAAACGCCUUUGACCACAUGGAAAUGAAUAAUUCUGAAACGAGGUCACUCCUACUGAUCUUGCUCUUCGAGUUUGGUGGGAGCAAGACAAUAGGCUUUGAUAGUGUCUUCAUGUCGUUCCAGAGGGUUAUCGAUCCCGAUAUUGGGCAGUGGGUUGGUGGGAGCUUGGGUCCUUUGAUCACCCCCUAGGUUUUUUGGUAUCUGCUAGGCCGCGCUUGGAUUAGGUGUAAAAUAAUACGGAGGUGUUUUCUUUACAUGUGUAAUUUGCUGGCCAGUGAGCAAUUUCGGGCCGGAAACGAUGUAUUUUUUUACAGAGGUAUUUGAAACGAGAACACUGAUCCAAACUGGCCCCUAGGGUUUCCAGAGAGCCAUCGAUUUCCAAUUGUGUAAAGACUCCACUCUGUAACAUAUGCAAUCCUACGCAUGGUUUGAAAAAGGAAUGAUUCUGAAACUCGGUUUAGAGCAGUGAAACGAGAUGAUUCUCUUCAUGGGACCUUUGAUGGUGGUGCCUCAAGUCCAAGGCGAAGUUGAUGGUGGUGCCUCAAGUUCACAAUGAUGGACUUGUGAACCUGACUUGCCGUAGCUUUGGCGGUAGGGGCAGACACAACAAAAAUGUUAUAUAUGUGUAUUGACUCAAAUUCGUUACACUUGUGAGAAUCCCUCAAAAUGCAAAAGGUGAAGAUAAUAAAUGUUGUUACAAGUACCAUAACCUAAGU
rnacentral:rRNA from 1 species